rnacentral:lncRNA from 1 species
UUCUUUCUUAUCGCAACAACUCUUCCCGAUGCCUCCUUCUCCCUUCUCUCCUUCAUCCAACAUCCAGAUCUGAUGGUGAUCAGAUCUAAAAAGAGAAAAGAGAGAAAAAAAAAGAGAAGAAGAAGGGUUCUUCUUCUCUUCAUGGUGAUCUGGUUCAGAUCUCUUCGGAUCUGCGUGAAAGAGUUCGCAUAGUGAUCUCCUUCUUCAAGAUCUAGAAGAAGAGAUCUAGAUCCAAGGAUGAAGAGCGUGAUCUACAAGGUACUAACACACUGAUGAUCUCAGUGCUCCGAUCAGACAUCUUUAUAUGGAUACCAGCAG